GAUGAACGCUGGCGGCGUGCCUAAUACAUGCAAGUCGAGCGAACGGACGAGAAGCUUGCUUCUCUGAUGUUAGCGGCGGACGGGUGAGUAACACGUUGAUAACCUACCUAUAAGACUGGGAUAACUUCGGGAAACCGGAGCUAAUACCGGAUAAUAUUUUGAACCGCAUGGUUCAAAAGUGAAAGACGGUCUUGCUGUCACUUAUAGAUGGUUCCGCGCUGCAUUAGCUAGUUGGUAAGGUAACGGCUUACCAAGGCAACGAUGCAUAGCCGACCUGAGAGGGUGAUCGGCCACACUGGAACUGAGACACGGUCCAGACUACUACGGGAGGCAGCAGUAGGGAAUCUUCCGCAAUGGGCGAAAGCCUGACGGAGCAACGCCGCGUGAGUGAUGAAGGUCUUCGGAUCGUAAAACUCUGUUAUUAGGGAAGAACAUAUGUGUAAGUAACUGUGCACAUCUUGACGGUACCUAAUCAGAAAGCCACGGCUAACUACGUG
rnacentral:rRNA from 1 species